rnacentral:rRNA from 1 species
GGACUACUGGGGUUUCUAAUCCUGUUUGCUCCCCACGCUUUCGUGCCUGAGCGUCAGUGUUAGCCCAGGGGGCUGCCUUCGCCAUCGGUGUUCCUCCACAUCUCUACGCAUUUCACUGCUACACGUGGAAUUCCACCCCCCUCUGCCACACUCGAGCUCGCUAGUUUCCAAUGCAGUUCCCAGGUUGAGCCCGGGGCUUUCACAUCAGACUUUACGAACCGCCUACGCACGCUUUACGCCCAGUAAUUCCGAUUAACGCUCGCACCCUACGUAUUACCGCGGCUGCUGGCAC